ACCGACUCAGGUGGUCAGGUAGAGAAUACUAAGGCGAUCGGGUGAACUGUGGUUAAGGAACUCGGCAAAUUGCCCCCGUAACUUCGGGAGAAGGGGGGCCAUGCCCGGUGAUCCACCUUGCGUGGUGAGCGGGGUGUGGCCGCAGAUACCAGGGGGAAGCGACUGUUUACUAAAAACACAGGUCCGUGCGAAGUCGUAAGACGCUGUAUACGGACUGACGCCUGCCCGGUGCCGGAACGUUAAGAGGACCGGUCAACCCUCACGGGUGAAGCUGAGAAUCUAAGCGCCGGUAAACGGCGGUGGUAACUAUAACCAUCCUAAGGUAGCGAAAUUCCUUGUCGGGUAAGUUCCGACCUGCACGAAUGGCGUAACGACUUCCCCACUGUCUCAACCACAGACCCGGCGAAAUUGCAGUACGAGUAAAGAUGCUCGUUUCGCGCAGCAGGACGGAAAGACCCCGGGACCUUCACUACAGCUUGGCAUUGGCGUUUGGAGCGUCUUGUGUAGGAUAGGUGGGAGACUGUGAAGCUCACACGCCAGUGUGGGUGGAGUCAUUGGUGAAAUACCACUCUGGUCGUUUCGAGCGUCUAACCCGCACCCGUGAAUCCGGGUGGGGGACAGUGCCUGGUGGGUAGUUUAACUGGGGCGGUUGCCUCCUAAAAGGUAACGGAGGCGCCCAAAGGUUCCCUCAGCCUGGUUGGUAAUCAGGUGGCGAGUGCAAGGGCACAAGGGAGCUUGACUGUGAGACGGACAUGUCGAGCAGGUGCGAAAGCAGGGCCUAGUGAUCCGGCGGUGGCAUGUGGAAGCGCCGUCGCUCAACGGCUAAAAGGUACCCCGGGGAUAACAGGCUGAUCUUCCCCAAGAGUCCAUAUCGACGGGAUGGUUUGGCACCUCGAUGUCGGCUCGUCGCAUCCUGGGGCUGGAGUAGGUCCCAAGGGUUGGGCUGUUCGCCCAUUAAAGCGGCACGCGAGCUGGGUUUAGAACGUCGCGAGACAGUUCGGUCCCUAUCCGCUGCGCGCGCAGGAGAUUUGAGAGGGUCUGUCCCUAGUACGAGAGGACCGGGACGGACGAACCUCUGGUGUGCCAGUUGUCAUGCCAAUGGCACGGCUGGUUGGCUACGUUCGGACGGGAUAACCGCUGAAAGCAUCUAAGCGGGAAGCCUUCCUCGAGAUGAGAUCUCCCACCCCCAUGAGGGGUGUAAGGCCCCCAGCUAGACCACUGGGUUGAUAGGCCAGAAAUGGAAGCACCGUAAGGUGUGGAGUUGACUGGUACUAAUAGGCCGAGCGGCUC
rnacentral:rRNA from 1 species